CCUACGGGAGGCUGCAGUCGAGAAUCAUUCACAAUGGGGGAAACCCUGAUGGUGCGACGCCGCGUGGGGGAAUGAAGGUCUUCGGAUUGUAAACCCCUGUCAUGUGGGAGCAAAUUAAAAAGAUAGUACCACAAGAGGAAGAGACGGCUAACUCUGUGCCAACAGCCGCGGUAAUACAGAGGUCUCAAGCGUUGUUCGGAAUCACUGGGCGUAAGGCGUGCGUAGGCUGUUUCGUAAGUCGUGUGUGAAAGGCGCGGGCUCAACCCGCGGACGGCACAUGAUACUGCGAGACUAGAGUAAUGGAGGGGGAACCGGAAUUCUCGGUGUAGCAGUGAAAUGCGUAGAUAUCGAGAGGAACACUCGUGGCGAAGGCGGGUUCCUGGACAUUAACUGACGCUGAGGCACGAAGGCCAGGGGAGCGAAAGGGAUUAGAUACCCGUGUAGUC
rnacentral:rRNA from 1 species